GUAAGCGGGGCCUCGAGCGGAGGGGACUUGCGCUGGUUGGUCGCGUUAGCGGUCAAACAGAAGUUAAAGCUAUUAAAGAGGGCAUUAUCCGAAUGCCUCAUGGACGGACAUGGAGCAGCAGCCACCUCGCUAGGAAGUCUCUGUCAGUGUUUGACCGCUCUCACUGUUGAGAAGUUUCUCGUAAUGCCAUGUCUGAACCUCCCCUAUAAAUAUGGAUAAAUAUGGGUAUGUUAUAAAUUGAAAAAUACAGGAAGAAAAACUGCUUUAGCUGUUUGAUUUGGAGAAGGAACUUUUGUUUCCCGUAUGCAUUCCACUGCAGGACACCACUGCAAGUUCCUUUGCACAUAAUUCGGAACUAAUAAAAGCCAAACUGAUUUUUACAGAAGGGCCGUGAUGGGGGAGUUCUUUUUUUCUUCCAUACCCGCAGAUAACCAGUUCGGAUUUAUAUAAAGACAAAAAAUGGUUUGAACUCAGGCUCUCCUUCAGCGUGCCUCAGUGGGUAUGAGUUUCCUUGCAGCAGCAGGAGGAAAAAAGUCACCGUUGUGCGGAACUUCUUUUUUUUUUUUUUCGAUUAUUCAAAAGCCUCCUUAAUAAUACAGAACAGCUGAGGGGAUUCGUGUGAUUUUAUUCCCUGUCGAAGUCGCUGAGCAAUUACAUCCAGCCACAGGGCUGUGCUUGCGCUGCUGCCGGUUGUUGCUGGGUUCUCUCUGAUGCUUUGGAAGCUGUGCCCUCCCCAGCCUAACAUGCAGGCCUAUCGUUGGACAAAUCGAGGCUCCUUUGUUCUGAUGUUAAGCGCUAAGCCCUGACAACAGAGAACAAAAGGUCCAAGAACAGCUUGUGCUAAAGGCAAAACUUUCCUUUGCUUCGUCGUAAUUCUUCCUUGUUGGCUCUGAGAACCUUGGAGGAUCUUGGUAGCUGCCUCCUAGCGAGAGCAGAAAAUGUUGCAGUGCAAGGGCAAGACCUGAGGCUGUCCUCUCUUUGGAGACUUUAGGAAUAUUUCCCCCUCAGACUUCUUCUUCCUGGUGGUUGUAUCUGAGGAUGUGUCAUGACUGAAUUGCCAGUGGAAGUGGAACCAUCAACCAAAUGAACAGUGACAAAUCACCGUGCCCAGACCUUGUUCAUAGCUGAAUUGCAAUGGAAACUAUUUCUUUGGGUAUUAUUUCUGCUUAAGAAGACGUGUUCCUUAAAUGACCAGUUGACAAAGCAGAGUGAAAAUGGACAUCUGAACAACUUUUAGGUGCAGAAUGAUACAUCACAGGAUUGAUACGUUCUCAGCUUUGCUCCGGGGCCUGAGGAGAAGGAUGAUAUUCUCAUGCUCCAUAGGGAGCACGUCCCUCUCACUGGGAGCUGGCAGGACAAGCCCUGAGCAUUGCCUGGAAGCUGAGCCCCAGCCCCAGCCCAACCCGGAGCCUCUGGCAGUGGCGGGCAGGAACCUCACCAAGAUGCACGCGCAGACUGGGACGUGAAUGCAGAGUGCUGCCUCCCUUCCAGAAGGACACACGGGUGCAUCAUCUUCAGACUUGAGCAGUUUACCCAGAGAUAUGAAUCUUCAUGUUUCCAUUGUGAAUGGAUCUGCACUGGACCCUGAAGGUGUGAACCCCUGGCACAUAGCUCUGAUGAAAUGUAGAAUUCAGUUUGGAAAUGUGCCGUGCAAGUUCCUGGAGAUCUCAAGUACUGGAGAGUUAGUUACUUCUCCUGACUGAAAUUCACCCUGCAGACUAGUGUGAAAAGCUUUAAACAUCAAUACAUAUUGCCUUAUAAGGCUCAUACAAAUGAAAUGUAAGUCCUAAACUUUGGAAACUUGUCACUACCCAAUGCAGACAGGAUGUACUGACACACAAGCAAGGAACUCCACAUGCAAGAAAAAAUGCAAUAGCAAGAGAGAAAACUGGAAUACUUAAGAAAAUGGCAGAACUUGUCAAAGGCUGUUGCCAGAGCAACAGAAACCUCUCACUAAAUAUCAUUUCUGAUGUGAGACAGCUGUACCUCAGGGAAAUAUGAAGGCAACUAUUUUGAAAUGGCUCAAUUUCAAGUUGAGAUUCAUCAAGCAAACGUUCUUUCAGACAGGAAGAUGAUCCUUUGGCGGAUUCAGUCUCCACAUAUACAAAGACCAGAAAUGAGUAUACCAGCAGAAGGCACAUGGAGCACCAGCAGCAUUUCAUAAAUCUUCAUAACGGAAGGGGAGAUACUCCCGUCUUUUAAGACAGUUCUGAGAACAACUGCUGAGACAAGAAGCAAGAAUUUCCAGAGUCUGAAUGGAAACCUUGUGUGUCUAGCAAGUAUUUUGAGAUAAACUCCCGAAGAACCUUUAAAAUGUCAGAGAAUUAAAUGGGAAUUUGACUGAUGAUUCCAGUGAAGAUGUGGUUUUACUCCUGUGUUAGUAGGCUGAGCCAGUGAGCACUCUGACAGAUGUCAGGGAGAUCAAUGUCCUCCACAAAACGACCCUUGAAUAAUUUAUUCUGUCUUCAUGAGGUCCUUCAGACAAUAUGACUGAGUGGAGAGAGGAGAAAAUGAAGGCUUGCAUGAUUUCCCGCAUUUUUCUCCUAGUGGAGCUGGAGUAAAGGAUCUCCAUUUUGAGACCCUUAAUUAUUAAACCUCUUGAUACCCUUUCCCCCGUUCUCUCAUGACUUCUUCCUUUACCCCCCAAUUUUUUUUCCACUUAAAAAUCCAUUUGACAUCUGGGUGCUGAGCCAUGGCCCUAAGUUGUAGUUUUCCCAACAGGUUAUGAAGUCCUAUUUGCUGUUAUUGGUUAUUACGUUCUUUCACUUUAAACAGUAUAAAAGCAAGCACUGUAAUUUUUUCUGUCUUUGAAACGCAGAAGAGAAAAGGUUGUGUUUUUUUUAUUUGUGAGAUCUUAAUCAUAAAUUGGUUUCUUGGACAGAAAUAUUCACUUGGCAUUAAGCAACAAUAAAGGCCUUUGCUUUCACUUCAGGCUGCUUUAGAACAUUUCAAAGGCUACAGGAAAUAUUCUUUCUAUGAUUUACGCUCUAUCUUAAUUGUGCAGCAGUAUUUCCAAAACAAUAUUGAAGGAUGUUCUUUUGUGGGUAGCUAAGAACAAAAAAAUCUUGUUUAACUUUUGAGCUAUGUAUAUUUUCUUGGCAAAGAAUAAUUUGGGAGAUGAAUAAAAGAUAGCUUUUUUGCUCCAAGGAAAGGCUUAGCUCUAGCAGACUGAAUUUUGUUACCAAU
ensembl:lncRNA